rnacentral:rRNA from 1 species
GCCCUUCGGGGUGGAUUAGUGGCGAACGGGUGAGUAACACGUGGGCAAUCUGCCCUUCACUCUGGGACAAGCCCUGGAAACGGGGUCUAAUACCGGAUACGACCUGCCGAGGCAUCUCGGCGGGUGGAAAGCUCCGGCGGUGAAGGAUGAGCCCGCGGCCUAUCAGCUUGUUGGUGGGGUAACGGCCCACCAAGGCGACGACGGGUAGCCGGCCUGAGAGGGCGACCGGCCACACUGGGACUGAGACACGGCCCAGACUCCUACGGGAGGCAGCAGUGGGGAAUAUUGCACAAUGGGCGCAAGCCUGAUGCAGCGACGCCGCGUGAGGGAUGACGGCCUUCGGGUUGUAAACCUCUUUCAGCAGGGAAGAAGCGCAAGUGACGGUACCUGCAGAAGAAGCGCCGGCUAACUACGUGCCAGCAGCCGCGGUAAUACGUAGGGCGCAAGCGUUGUCCGGAAUUAUUGGGCGUAAAGAGCUCGUAGGCGGCUUGUCACGUCGGGUGUGAAAGCCCGGGGCUUAACCCCGGGUCUGCAUCCGAUACGGGCAGGCUAGAGUGUGGUAGGGGAGAUCGGAAUUCCUGGUGUAGCGGUGAAAUGCGCAGAUAUCAGGAGGAACACCGGUGGCGAAGGCGGAUCUCUGGGCCAUUACUGACGCUGAGGAGCGAAAGCGUGGGGAGCGAACAGGAUUAGAUACCCUGGUAGUCCACGCCGUAAACGUUGGGAACUAGGUGUUGGCGACAUUCCACGUCGUCGGUGCCGCAGCUAACGCA